rnacentral:rRNA from 1 species
AGCGAACGCUGGCGGCAGGCCUAACACAUGCAAGUCGAACGAACCUUUCGGGGUUAGUGGCGGACGGGUGAGUAACACGUGGGAACGUGCCUUUAGGUUCGGAAUAACUCAGGGAAACUUGUGCUAAUACCGAAUGUGCCCUUCGGGGGAAAGCUUUAUCGCCUUUAGAGCGGCCCGCGUCUGAUUAGCUAGUUGGUUGAGGUAAUGGCUCACCAAGGCGACGAUCAGUAGCUGGUCUGAGAGGAUGAUCAGCCACAUUGGGACUGAGACACGGCCCAAACUCCUACGGGAGGCAGCAGUGGGGAAUCUUGCGCAAUGGGCGAAAGCCUGACGCAGCCAUGCCGCGUGAAUGAUGAAGGUCUUAGGAUUGUAAAAUUCUUUCACCGGGGACGAUAAUGACGGUACCCGGAGAAGAAGCCCCGGCUAACUUCGUG